GCGCGAUUAGCUCAGUUGGUAGAGCGACUCAUUGACGUUGAGUAGGCCACAGGUUCGAGUCCUGUAUCGCGCACAA
rnacentral:tRNA from 3 species